rnacentral:tRNA from 1 species
UAUCUUAAGGUGUAUUUGCAUAUGAAAUUUUGAUUUUUAAGGUUUGUUGAGAUUA